ensembl:lncRNA
UCAGGUUGAUGAGAGAGAUCAGUUGAACCUCUUCCUUCAGGUUGAUGAGAGAGAUCAGUUGAACCUCUUCCUUCAGGUUGAUGAGAGAGGUCAGUUGAACCUCUUCCUUCAGGUUGAUGAGGGGAUAGAGGUCAGAUGAACCUCUUCCUUCAGGUUGAUGAGAGAGAUCAGUUGAACCUCUUCUUUCAGGUUGAUUAGGGGAGAGAGGUGAGUUGAACCUCUUCCUACAGGUUGAUGAGAGGUGAGAGGUCAAUUGAACCUCUUCCUUCAGGUUGAUGUGGGAUAGAGGUCAGUUGAACCUCUUCCUUCAGGUUGAUGAGAGGUGAGAGGUCAGUUGAACCUCUUCCUUCAGGUUGAUGAGGGGGUAGAGGUCAGUUGAACCUCUUCCUACAGGUUGAUGAGAGGUGAGAGGUCAAUUGAACCUCUUCCUUCAGGUUGAUGAGGGAUAGAGGUCAGUUGAACCUCUUCCUUCAGGUUGAUGAGGGGAGAGAGGUCAGUUGAACCUCUUCCUUCAGGUUGAUGAGGGGAUAGAGGUCAGUUGAACCUCUUCCUUCAGGUUGAUGAGAGAGAUCAGUUGAACCUCUUCUU